UACAGAGGUCCCGAGCGUUGUUCGGAUUCAUUGGGCGUAAAGGGUGCGUAGGCGGCGAGGUAAGUCUGAUGUGAAAUCCCGGGGCUCAACCCCGGAACUGCAUUGGAUACUGCCUUGCUUGAGGACUGGAGAGGAGACUGGAAUUCAUGGUGUAGCAGUGAAAUGCGUAGAGAUCAUGAGGAAGACCAGUGGCGAAGGCGGGUCUCUGGACAGUUCCUGACACUGAGGCACGAAGGCCAGGGGAGCAAACGGG
rnacentral:rRNA from 1 species